CACACAGGGACCAUGUGACAAGACAGUGUUGUGGGGAUCCGCAUAAGGACUGUGGAGCUUCCUGUGGGCCCCCCUGGUGCUUCCUGCCUGAGAAGAGACAUGGGCCCCUGGUGCCCUAGUGUGAAGUUUCAGUUAGUGGCAGGGUCUUCACUUCCUGUUCCAAGCUGUUGGGAAUGCUGAGGAAGAGGCCCCAGGAAGACCAUGCCGCAAGAAUCUGAGCUGGUGAAAAAACUAAAAGACAGAAAAUCCAACAUCCAACAGCGACCAUAAAAAUUGUAUUUUAAAAUCACAGCAUCUACCAGGAACAGCUGAUACAAGAAUGCACAGCGUAUUUUAAUCAUAUCAACUGUGCCCACCUCAAUUUAGAUCCUGGGAAAAGGCUAACAAAGACAACACUCACAUUCGGUUUAAACUAGUCUACUGCCACAGGAAAGUACCUUGAACAUCAGUGAAGACUUAUACACAGAAUGAAUUUCCCCUCCAGGGAAAAUCAGCGAAUAUAAAUUCAUUAGGGCCAUUAAUUCAUCCACAUAAACACAAUGGACAGCACUGUUAAUGGUAGGGGAAAAAAAUCAGACUCUUUAAGAAACAGACGGUAACACCUAAAGCAAAGAGAGUUGAGUUCUAAUUGUGCUUCUUGUAAGAAGACAAUAAUAACACCUGUUUCUUUCUCAUGGAGAAUAGAUACGAACUUGCUAAAAAUAUGUUUAAGUUCUUCUAGGUAAAGCUCUAUGGAAUCCCAAGGGAGUCCAAUCAGAAAGGGGAAAUAGACUGGUGUGUUCCCUUCAUUUUCGAUGAGGGCUAGGUGCCCAAAAUGUUUUAAAAGCAGAAAACUGGUAACGCUGGAUGUAUUGUCAAAAUACAUUUCCCUCUGGUUAAGAAAAGCAGAGAGGGGGAGCUGGAAGGGCGGAGCGGUAAGCAUUGUCAUCAAAGCAUUGUUAUAUGAACUGAAUUAUAUUACAAUGGCAACGCUUCAACAUGGAGAAUGAAAAUUGUUCUGUAUUAUUGUGGAUUGACAAUAUGACAAUCGUUCAUUGAGAGCGCAUGACAGCUGUGGCAUUCUAGCUCCGUGCACAACACAAGAUGAAUGAGUGCUACAAGUUCUUCAGGAUGGGCCCCUAUUUCACAAGAGUCCGUCUCAUCCCAAAAUAAAUACACGCCAGCUUUUCCCUAUCUCAGCAAAUUUAGCAUCUCUUUACAAACCAACGUGCUACCAGCGGCCUCAAAGUGCCAGUGUCAAGUCCCUGCUUAGUGGAUUUGCAGCAGCUGUGAAAUGUCAAGUCAAAAUGCCAUGGAAGAUCUAUACAGCGCCUCGGCAGAAGAAAGGGCAAGAAAUGGUGGAACGCCCAUUCCCGGACACAUGUGAGCUGUCUCCUCAUCCACAGGAGCACCGCUAAGGAAUUCGCCUCUUGGCACCAGGCUCGUCCCACCAUAGACAUAGGAGACACAUUUGUGGACCUCCUAUACCAAAUUAUUCACCUAAAAGAAGUCAUAUCAUACAUGCUACUUGAAAUGAACACAUUUCGGAGUCCAGAGAUAUUUACAUAUCCUCUUAUGGACAACGAAAGCCAUUCCUGCUUACCUACUGCCCCCGGGCCCCCUCCAAAAAGAACCCAGCAAGGUAAAAAGCACAAAAUCCACCCAUCAUAUUACCAUGAGAAAGUAAAAGUCCUCUGUUAAUCUUCUGAUUUCCAGCUUUAUUGCAUUUUAAAAAAAAAUUCCUAAUUAAAUUUAUUUUUAACUGACACAUAAAACACAGCACUUGCACAUAUUCAUGAGGUCCCAUGUAAUGUUUUGAUGUCUACAUAAACUGAAUAAUUAGGCCAAACAUUUCUUUCUCUUCUAACAUAUAUCACUUCUUCAUGGGGAAAACAAUCAAAAAUCUCUUCUUGUAGUUUUUGUAGAUAUGCAGGACACAACUGUUAUCUGAGGUCACCUCACUGUGCAGCAGCAGGCUAGGACCUCUUGUUCCUAUUUACGUGCAACUUAGUAUCCGCUGGCCAACCUCUCCCCAGCCUCACCACCUCUCCUGCCUCCAGCCUCUAGUAACCACCAGUCACUACCAUUCUACACUCAAUUUCAAUGCAUUUUUUUUAAAGAGAAUUUGCUGCAUCUCCUUUCCCAGGGCCUGCUUUUUUAGAAUGCAGCAAUCAAUAUAUACUCUCAACAUUUUUUCAAUCUCAUGAGUAUUCUAAAAUAUAAUUUUAAUGGCUAUAUGUAUUCCAUUUUCUAUAUAUACUAUAACUUACAGAAUCCCCUACUAUUGGAUACUUAGGCUGCUUCUAAUGUUUCCUUAAGAAAAAGAAUGCAACUAUUAUGGAACAUUUGUAUACUCUAAUUUCUUAGUGUAAAAUCAUAAAACCUGUCCUGAUUUUCUGGGAUCCUGACUAUGGCAACAGUCAAAACCUCAGAGUAGUCCUUAGGUAGGUACCUGGAGCAUAAUUCAAAAGAAUGAAGCAAUCAAUAUACUUUCAACAUCUCUCAACUUUCUGGAAUAUUGUGUGGUUACAUGGGAUCAUGUGACUAGUUCUGACAAAUAAGUUGUGAGCAAAUAAGAGUGACAGACACCACUUCUGGGUUGGAGCACUGAAUUGUGUUUAUUGGCUUUUCACCUCUGUGACCAAAACAUCUGACAAGAAAAACUUGGAGGAAGAAAAGAUGAAUUUGGACUCAUGAUUUCAGACAUUUCAGUCCACAGUCACCUAGUUCCAUUGCUUAGGACUGAGGUGAGGCCAAACAUCAUGGCAGGAGGAGAGGGUGGAGGAAAGCUACUCAGCUCAUGGUAUCCAGGAAGAGGGGAAAGAGA